rnacentral:tRNA from 1 species
GGCUUCGAAGUAUAUAUUACGUUGAAUUGCAAAUUCGAAGAAGCAGAUUAAAUGCUGCCGAAGUCU